CGCCAGCCAUGGGCCGCGGCUGGCCGGCUGGAGCGGCCCACCCUAGUGACGCCCAGGGGACCUUCCGCAGCCCUCCCUCAAAGGAAGGGAAGACAGCCAGGCACCACCUAGGAGGCCAAGACAGCGGGCGCAGAGGGAAGGCCGAAGGAAGUGGAGGAGGUGGAGGGACUUACUGCGGAGCUGACUUCCCGGGCGGGGAGAAGAUAAGAGGCGCAUCUGUUCGGGCAGAACCAGAGCGGCGCCCGCUGGAGCUGAGCCCUGCCUGCCGGGGUGUCCGGCACCCCCGUAACGAAAGUCAGCAUCUUCCACUCCAAAUCCUUUCCUUUCCCUGCCUUCCCUGUUGUUUGUCAAGGGCCCCACUGUCCCCACUAACCCGGACUCCUCACUCCCCCAUCGAAUUGCUCACCAGAUCUCUCCUCCGGGAAGGCCUCCAUCUAGGCGUGAAGCCCGUCCACGCCCAGGACCCCCUCACCUCUCACCCGGACCGCUUCGCAGCCUCUGAACCCCUCUCCCUGUGUCCACUCUGCCCUCCAUCCACCCGACAGACUCCACUCCCGCUCACAGCUCCGAUGCUGUCGCACCACUGCUCAACAGCUCCACUGGCUCCGACUGCCUGCAGACUUUUUUUCACCGUGUACCCACGGGCAUGUGGCUCCCCGCAAACUCGAGGACUCGUCACGCCCUACACGCGAGGCUGUGCCCUCCUUCAGGACAGAUGCUGUCUGUUUGUGCUCCUCCACAAACACCCCCACACAGUCCCCCCCCCCCCCCCCCCCGGGGAAAGGGUGUAUCCCUAGUCACUGACUUGAAUUACACUGAGCUAACUCCACCCCAGCUGGCCUGCCCAGGAUCACACCAAGCCACACCCUUCCUUCCCCCGCCCGGAGACCAGAUCCCCUUCCCACCAGGGACAACCCAAUUCACCCGGACUCCCCCGCCUAGAACCUGCCUGUGCGUGUAUGUUGGGGAGGGGGAGGCAGGCUCACUCUCUGCUCAUUUACCCUUUACCUCCCUCCGCUGUCGCCUGCUAAAUCACCUCCACGUGUCCUACCCUAAUGCAGGUGCCCAACACCUCACCAGCGGAUACAGCACGAUCCCCGACCGAGGCUCCCCCGUCUGGCCACUCCAGCGGCCAUUCGCACAGAGACACCCCCUUUGGCCAGAACACAACGCUUCUGUUCAAGAACUCACAACUCCUGGGGCGCCU